UGUAAGGAUAAGCUGCUUGUAGACUUGCUUCCUGCCAUGUGGAGACAGCCAGCCUGACAGCAGGAAACCAGCAUGCAUGAAGAAGCAGAGCUGAGAGAUGGAGACAGCAACCAAUGGAAUUCUGGUACUUAGGUCCAGUGAUUCCCAAGGGUCUUCGACAGUUAGGAGAAUGUCAUGAACAGCAUCUGCCACCAGCUCUGCCACCAGGUCUCUCUCAUCCUUCUCCCUACCCUAACCUUGGAAAAUCCAUCAGCUAUUGUGCGAGUCAGGCCUUUGCAGAUCAGUGAACUCCAGGCUCAGAUUCCCAUCCUCGUGGAAGUAAAGGAGAACCUCCUUGUCAGGCACCCUCCAAGGAUCAGUAAGAACCAGAGGAUCAAUGAAUCCAAAGUGAUUCCUCUUCCAAGGAGGGCAGGAGGAGAGGGCACAAGCUAACUUCUUGAUGGGAAGCUGCUAGGUACUUUAUGUUUUAUGGCCCCUGAUUCCAGCAUCCUGUCUCCUUCUCUACCACCCAGGCUGCAGAGGAGACUGAUGAGCACAUGUUACAAAGGCAGUGAUCCUUGGAGAUGUAGACAACUGGAAAGAACUGUGUUGCCAUCACAACAACAACCAAAACAGCUGGACAAACUACAAGUUAACAGCUUUCCUGUACCUCUCAGAGAACACAGGCCACAGGGCUAUCCCGGAAUCUAGGAGAAGCAGGCAUCUGCGAAGGAGGCACAGGAUUCAAGCAUUUGUUCAUUUACAGACCUGGGGCAGAUGUCCGCAGCACUGAGAAGUAUGUGGGCUGAGCCCUGCCUUCCAGACAGGGAACAGAACUGGAGAGGUCAAGACUUACCCAGCCUUGUGUAGGCUAGGUAACUGUCAGGCACCGAAACUGCACUUUCUUUUUAACAACAAAGGUGUUUUCUGAUUCUUGAGUCUGAUUCUUCCAACAAGACUAUUGAAGCAUUGUAUGUGCCUCUGAAUACAAUUCACAUCACCCCCUCAUGCCUAGCCCAGGGCUGUGGAAACUACAAACACAUAGUGAACAUGGGCAUUUCCAAAGGAAAGGCUGAGGAAGUCACAGGCAUUAAAAUGAAAGGUUUGUCCAAAGUGAACUGUAAAGUGGUGAAACUAUGAGGCUCUAGAUAUUUUUUCCCCUUACCAGGGAAUCAUCAAUCUUAGGAUUUUGACUGGUCAGAAAACAUUAGAGUUCAGAUCACUGUGGAGGGCCAUGAUUUGACAUCAUCUUGCUACGCGGUAUCACAAUACACUUAGGAAUUGUUCGGUAAAAUUUAGUUUCAGGUAUCAAUGUAUACCCACAUACAUACAUAUAUACACAUAAACAUAUGCAGGCAUUUAGUUGUGAUACACAGUUCAUUUCUGAUUAUAGGUCAGUAGCCAGAGUGUCUGAAAAUGGUGCUCUAAAGCAAGAAGAAAAACCUUGGUGUAGUUAGGGAAAAAAAUAUAGGCUUGUGAGGCUGGACUUUCACUGUAAGAGGGAGUGAUAAGAAAUGAAGUCGGCAGCAUAAGCAGAGGCCAGAUUGUGCAGGCCAGCAGGCCACAGCAAAGAACUUAGAUCUCAAGCUAAGCACCACUGGAAACCACUAAAGGGUAUAAAUCACAUGCCGCACACUCUGAUUAACACUUUUAAAAGAAGGAUAAUUUUGGAUACUUUCUACUGUUACCUUUCUACAGUUUGCUCAAGUUCACAGAUUGGACUCGAGAAUUCCCCAGGCUGACCCAAGUGCUUUGGAGAGAAUUAGAAUGCUUGGAAUAGAAUAAAACUAGUAAGGCACUGAUUUGAAUUCUUGGAGAUACCAAUAAGACUAGCUCAGGUCAUAAAAAAUAAAACUCCCAUAAAAACUCAAACAACAUUGUGCUAUUUUUCACCUAUAAGUAAGCAAAUAUUUUCAUACAGCUUUACAGUAAUUGGCACAAUCUUUUAUACAGGGUCAUAGGGUUGCUCCUAUCAAAAUCUAAAUUUUGCAGGG